rnacentral:tRNA from 1 species
GCCUCUGGGUGCAUGCGUUUGCGCAGGUCAGGACCCCAUAGCAACCAUCACAAAAGUCGGUUUCCUAAACCGUGCGUCGCAGGUUCGAAUCCUGCCGGGGGCA